CAUUUGUGCUUGUAAGCUAAGUAUUUCAAACAUGCCAGGGUCUACUCGCUGUUUUUUUCUAAAAUGGGAGGCAGCUGAGAAGGUUAUGGUUCGACUAAAAUACGUUCCUGAUUCUUCGAGUGUGAAUAAAUGAUCGUUGCAUUUCCUCAAACCAAAUCAUGGAAGCCGAUGCUGCUACAUAAAGAUUUAAGACGGAAAGCCAAAAGCCAAAAGCAGAUAAAUUUCUUUUUCUUUGUGGCUAACAAGGAGACUGCAUGCUGGUUUUUACUUUGGACCUGAAGAUUAUUGUAGAAAGUAAUCGUGUCAAAAGGUAACACUGAUCCUAAUCCUCUCACUUUAACUGGGUAUAACCACACGAAUCUACUCGGUCUCAAUCUUGUGAUGGAUAAUAUUAAGGCUAUGGUGGAAUGGUUCUUUUAUAUUUGCUCACACUCACAGUGAUGUAUUUUAUGGUGUCAAAGAUUGCAGUUAGUGGUAGUAACAAGCAUUUGAUAAAUGGGAAGCUUGCACAACCUAGUCAAGUCCAGAAUCUUUUCCACUCUGUGCAGCUUAAUAAUGUCAACAAUCCACACUUUCUCAUCAUGCAAGGUAGAAUCACCAAAGUCUUAAACAUGAAACCUCCCGAGAUACUGUGGGUGCUGGAACAAGAAUGUAUGAAAACAAGAAAGAAAGAAUGUUCAACAGUAGAGGAAGAAGAAGAAGAAGAUGAGACAUGGAGGAGCGAGAUAGUAACAAGGGUGAUGAGAAUCGUGAGCAAGAGAUUGAUCUUUUUUACUCUGCUACCUUGAUGGUCUUAAGGUUCGUGUUUCCUUUGGAAGUAGUCUUUAUCAGAUGACAGCAGAGGGCAAAGUUGAUGCAGCUCUUGAUC